UACGUAGGUGGCAAGCGUUGUCCGGAAUUAUUGGGCGUAAAGCGCGCGCAGGCGGUCCUUUAAGUCUGAUGUGAAAGCCCACGGCUCAACCGUGGAGGGUCAUUGGAAACUGGGGGACUUGAGUGCAGAAGAGGAGAGUGGAAUUCCACGUGUAGCGGUGAAAUGCGUAGAGAUGUGGAGGAACACCAGUGGCGAAGGCGACUCUCUGGUCUGGUACUGACGCUCAGGAGCGAAAGCGUGGGGAGCGAUCCGG
rnacentral:rRNA from 1 species